rnacentral:rRNA from 1 species
GACGAACGCUGGCGGCGUGCUUAACACAUGCAAGUCGAACGGAAAGGCCCUGCUUGCAGGGUACUCGAGUGGCGAACGGGUGAGUAACACGUGGGUGAUCUGCCCUGCACUUCGGGAUAAGCCUGGGAAACUGGGUCUAAUACCGGAUAGGAGCCAUUUUUAGUGUGAUGGUUGGAAAGUUUUUUCGGUGUAGGAUGAGCUCGCGGCCUAUCAGCUUGUUGGUGGGGUAAUGGCCUACCAAGGCGGCGACGGGUAGCCGGCCUGAGGGGGUGGACGGCCAAAUUGGGACUGAGAUACGGCCCGGCUUCCUACGGGAGGAAGCGGUGGGGAAUAUUGCACAAUGGGGGCAAGCCUGAUGCAGCGCCGCCGCGUGGGGGAUGACGGCCUCCGGGUUGUAAACUCCUUUCGCUAGGGACGAAGCUUUUUGUGACGGUACUUAGAUAGAAGCACCGGCUAACUACGUG